UACGUAGGUGGCAAGCGUUGUCCGGAAUUAUUGGGCGUAAAGCGCGCGCAGGCGGUUCCUUUAAGUCUGAUGUGAAAGCCCACGGCUCAACCGUGGAGGGUCAUUGGAAACUGGGGGACUUGAGUACAGAAGAGAAGAGUGGAAUUCCAGCGUGUAGCGGUGAAAUGCGUAGAUAAUUGGGAGGAACACCUGUGGCGAAAG
rnacentral:rRNA from 1 species